CCCUAAGGCUUGGACAGAGGGGGCGGGAAGCCAGAGGCCCCAAGCGUUACCCGGAGUUACUGGGCGUAAAGAGUGGUUAGGUGGGCGUAUUAGGCGUCUGUUAAAACCCAGAGCUCAACUCUGGAAUCGCGGGCGAAACGGUACGACUCGAGGGCGUCAGAGGUCUGUGGAACUCUAGGUGUAGGGGUGAAAUCCGUUGAUAUCUAGGGGAACACCGAAAGCGAAGGCAGCAGACUGGGGCGUUCCUGACACUCAAGCACGAAAGCGUGGGUAGCGAACGGGAUUAGAUACCCCGGUAGUC
rnacentral:rRNA from 1 species